rnacentral:rRNA from 1 species
UACGUAGGCAGCGAGCGUUGUUCGGAGUUACUGGGCGUAAAGAGCUCGUAGGCGGUCUGUCGCGUCUGCUGUGAAAACUCAGGGCUUAACCCUGAGCUUGCAGUGGGUACGGGCAGACUAGAGUGCGGUAGGGGAGACUGGAAUUCCUGGUGUAGCGGUGAAAUGCGCAGAUAUCAGGAGGAACACCGGUGGCGAAGGCGGGUCUCUGGGCCGUAACUGACGCUGAGGAGCGAAAGCAUGGGGAGCGAACAGG